UUGUGGGCCAGCCCUUGAAAGCGCCAAAUUUAAAUUUGAAACUAAUUGAAGUCCUGUAUGUGAUUGGUUCGAUAAAAUUUGUAUAUAUUGGCUGUGUGCGUCGCAACAUUUGCAGUAGUUGAAGCAUAUGAGUCUUCGUUCGCGGUGGAUUUGCGGUUUCAUCAUUAGCGUGUUGUCGGCUUUCGAUGUCCUUUUUUGGAGCGGGUAUAUUUACUACUUGUGCUGUCAUUGUGUCCGCUACAGAAUUCUCGCCGUCUGCUGCAGCUGUUUUUUUCGAGAAUGGAUUAGCUAAGAGGAGCGAUAUGUUACAUUAUGUAAAUUAAGUUUUCGAAACCAUUCAACUUACUUAGAUAUUCAUCGGCAAGUAUGUCCAGCCAGGAGGAAUCAUCUUGCGAUGGCAUUCCAAUUACGAAACCAUCUAAACGUAAUUUCAGAUUUUCUUCGCCCUUCUGACGUUGAUCAUAAUGGAUCUCCUCUUGCUGAUAGCCAUAGUCCCCAUAAUCGUUGUACAAAAGCUCCAGCAAAUCGCUGGCAGAGCUACGCAUUUUUGAUGGCUUUGCCAUGGCCAAGCCAAUAAAUUGCAGAAAGAACAAGACAAACAGACGAUUGGUGAAUUUGCACAUCUUUUUGGAUGCUUCUCUUUUAUAGCGUAGACAGGACCGCCGUCGUCUGAAAGCGGACAACGAAUGAGCCACAGUUCUGGGCAUGAGCAUAAGAUGAGCCUUUGCCAGAAGUUUGAUCGUUAAAAAAGAAAAAAAAAAACUCGAUUCUGUGAAUAGGCAACCGAUUCCAGUUCAAUGGCCCAAAGACUUCCGCAUUGUGAUGAGAAUGUGAGAACCUUCACUGCAGAUGCAGUUGCAUUUGCCACUGACCGCAGCUUGCCACUCAAUUAUGCGCAGUUCUAAUGCUUCCUUGACAAACAUGUAAAUUACAUCAAAUACAUAUGUAUUUCUAUUUGAAUUAA